rnacentral:rRNA from 1 species
UAAUACGGAAGAUGCGAGCGUUAUCCGGAUUUAUUGGGUUUAAAGGGAGCGUAGGCGGGCAGUCAAGUCAGCGGUCAAAUGGCGCGGCUCAACCGCGUUCCGCCGUUGAAACUGGCAGCCUUGAGUAUGCACAGGGUACAUGGAAUUCGUGGUGUAGCGGUGAAAUGCUUAGAUAUCACGAGGAACUCCGAUCGCGCAGGCAUUGUACCGGGGCAUUACUGACGCUGAGGCUCGAAGGUGCGGGUAUCAAACAGGAUUAGAUACCCUGGUAGUCCGCACAGUAAACGAUGAAUGCCCGCUGUCGGCGACAUAGUGUCGGCGGCCAAGCGAAAGCGUUAAGCAUUCCACCUGGGGAGUACGCCGGCAACGGUG